UCACUUCUGUAUACUUAAAUAAUGCUUCAAACUUCUACUUACGAGUAAAAUAUCCCCAACACAUCCAUUAGAAAAAUAUCAUAUGCAGGUUCUUUCCUUACAGACCCUGCCUGCAGUUGUACUUGUCUACUCAGUCUUAGGAUCAUCUGUUCCAUCAGUCCUCAUCAGUCAUUAUGGCCAUGGAAAUCCAUGUAACGCUUUCAGAACUUUCACAUUGUAUGACAUGCACCACACCAAUGCUUUCCCAUUCAUUAGCUUUUCUGUCGUGCUACUUCUAUGAUGUUACCAGCAUUGCCAAAGAGAGGUCGAAAGCUUAAGACAACAGCUGCAGCACCUGCAAGAGCACCACAGGUACAGUAAUCUUCCACUUGGUCAUGAGUCUUUGGAGAAUGAACAUGAAUGGUGUAGAAGUGGAGUUCCAAAAGGAUUGAGGACUCUUCCAGUUAUCUCACUAAAUGAUAUAUAGCAUGCUUAUCUGAAUUAAAAUUCUGUUUCAACUGUUAGCAUCUGUUAGAAAUUUCAUCUUGUAGAUUGAGGAAUAUCAAGAUUCAGUUUCAAAAGUACAAAUUGCCAUGGUGUCAAAGAAUUCACUUGUGCGAAAAACUUGUCUGUUUUUGGUAAUACUUAUCCAUGUCUGAGGAGAGAACAAAAUAUAUAUUUCAUCUUCUCAAUCACAUGCAUUAAGAAUACUUGUGUAGAGCAGAUGAAGCCUAGAGUCGAUAGUGCAGCACAGUAAUUAUUUCGUAACCAAAGAAGACAGCAACUUCUCUUAUAAUCACUAAGCAUAAUCGACCAUAUUCUAUCUACUUGAUAUGUAAAUGGUUCAAGAGAGCUACUACUGUCCUGGCAAAACUAGCAUAAAGUGUUACCUGCUGCGACCAAAUGGAUCUUCUUAGUCCAUCCAGAAUGCAUUUGUGGAUUAGGCCCAACAAGUUUUUUAUUGUAGAGGGGACAAUAACAUCAGGGAUUCAUUUUGAAACUAUCUGAUCAACUGUAUAAUUCUAGUUAUUUUGGAUGAGCUCCAAGGACAAAGAAAUCCAGAAACUAUCAUAUUUUGGGGUAUACUUUCUCAGUUAUUUUAGCUGAGCUGCCAACAAAAAGAAAUCCAGAAAGCUUCCUCAAGCUUGUACAACCUUGGGAGGCUAUACUGUGUCCAAGACUUUAAAAUAGACUAGUUUCAUUGAUAUAAUCAGUAAAGUCCUUUCGGAAUUGCUAAAGUAACUCAUUACGAUGGCUUCUAGAUUUGAAAAUGCGGCAAAUUAUACAUUAGAAAAAUGUCCAUUCACUCAACUAAAAAAUUGGAAAGGGUGUUGGAUGCCUUUUGAUAUGAUAUGCUAUCAGAAUGUCAAGUAUCUAGAGACAUAAGAAGGUCUUCAAAAUGUGGCAGGAAAUUGAUAAGUUCUCAAGUCUGAGCAUGAUUUCUUCUCUUCAAUCUGAUACACACAGGCAAUUGAUGGGAGAACAACUCUCUGGCCUCAGCAUCAAAGAUCUGCAUAAUCUAGAAAACCAACUAGAGCAAAGCCUAAAAAGCAUCCGUGCCAAUAAGGUAGUAGCUGAAUAUCUGCCUCAAACUCUCAAACAUUGUUUCUGUAUUACCACCAGAUCCAGGAAAAGACGACACAAGCUCACUUUAUCCGAGGAAUAAUUCUGGUAAUUCUUUCUCUGCAGGAGGGAAUUUUCUCUGCUGACGUAAAAGAGCUGAACCUAAAGGUUUCAACAACCUAACGACUUCAUUCCAAUAGUACGGUUAUCAACUAUCAAGUGACUCACAUAAGCUUAAUUCAUUCCAGGGAAAUGUGAUGCAUCAGGAAAACAUAGAGCUUCACAAGAAGAUCAGUCUCUUCCUUCAGGAAAAUAAUGCAUUGAGAAAGAAGGUAUAAGUUCAGAUGACAAGUGCAUCUAUUACAUGUCAAUCAAUUACUCAUCUUUUAUUUUACUGACAAAUUUCCUAAUCCAUAGGUCUGUAGAGCAAGCAAUGUGAAUCAAGCUAACCAAUAUUGCCAUGAACCAUCAACUAUGACCAUAGUGCAUGACUUGUUUGCGCCUUCAAACCUCUGUCUAGGCCAACCACAGCCUCAGAGUAAAGAAGUCCCCCUUGAAGCAACCAAUCUGGGGUAAAUUUCCCACUCAAUUAUUUUGAAGAGCAUACUUUCAAUCAACGACAUGUCUUUCACACAACAGAUCUGAUUAAGCACUGUGAACCAGACUGCAACUGCAUUAGCACGAGUUCAGACUGCGGAAUGGUUAUCAACGCAUUGCAUUGAAAGCUAAAGCUCAAGCUUCUACAAGUUAUCUUCAAACAACAAACUUGUAUAUUCACCAGAAAGACUUCAAGGUAUGGUAUGUCAUGUCUAAAACUCAGAACAUGGGACACUUUAUCUUUGUAAAUGGAAAUAUGUCAAUAAAUAAUGAAAGCAAGACGACAUGCCAGAAGGUAUCGACCAUCAUCAGCUAAGUUGUCGUCCCCUUUCUAACCAACAUCUGUUAAAAGGUUUGUACUGCCAAUUCUACUCUACAAAUUCAUAGUCUUGUAACUGCAUUUCUUCCACAAGUGAGACCUCUACAGUUUAUAAAAAAAUUAGAAAUUUGCAAACUUUUGCAGAUUAUAGUUCGAAAUCCAUUCAUUAUGUGUAGGAGUAUUGGUCAAGAUGGACCUCUCUGUUGCUAUUUGACAUGCAAACGCAAAGAAUAAAGAGAUGAGGAAAGAAGAGCAUGCAUCGGAGAGUUUGUUCAGCUUCCUUUCGUGAAAAAUACGCGCUAUUUUCAUAGUUCAAUUUGCAACCAAAUGUACACAACCGUGAGCCUCACACAGCCAAUAAGCACAUAAGAAAAAGUGGUUCAAAUUGAAAACCCAAGCCAGCACAACAAUUCUGAGUAUCCCUUGUGUCGUAAUGCACUGAUAGGAUGAAACAUAGUAUGCAGACAAGAAGAUAGACCAAAUAAGCAUGGUAUCUAAUCGCACAUAAAGUCACAGGCAGAUGGGUUAAUCAUUUAAGCUUCCUCUAAAUCUGGCUUGAGUCAAGAAACAUGUGUACAGCCAUUCCAUGGCUAUAACAAAUACAUCCAGCUUUUUCAAAGCCAAAUGAUAUACAGAACAAGUAUGUGGCCAUCCGCAUGAACUUCACUUUUUAUGUCCCGAUUGGAUAGAUUUUGUCAUUCCUUAACCUUUUAGGAAUCUUCUUCCAAAUUACCUUCCUUCGACAUGAAGAACAACACUCUAGGACUCCAAGUGUCACAGACAGAUCAUCAAGAUGACUGGGACUUUUUCAUGCAGUUUCAUUUCAUAUUACAAGUCAUGGGUUUGGUUAACCGUCAAUUAUUCCUCUCCUUCAGUGAUCCCACCAUGUUAACAUCUCCCGCAUACCUGAAAGACUUCUUUGCGAAGAAAAUUGGCAAGACCUAAUACCAAUUUUUUUCACUAUUUUCGUCACCUAUAACAGAAAGUAAUUCUUUUUUUUUCUUUUUUCUUUUGGGGGGCUGGGGGGGAGAGAGAGAGAGAGAGAAGAAAGAGGGUCUGAAAGAGAUGACCAUUAGCUACUUGAUCAGUCUUUUUGCACAAUCUACACGGCAGAGCCCUGCAGCAACCGCUGCGAACUGCCACAACAGCGGUCUCGGGGGCGAUCCUCUGCUGAUGACGAGAGAAAAAGUCGAGACGAACAGAGACGAGAUCGAUGGACUUACUGUCGAACGACGCUCGCGAGCUGACACAAGAACGAUGACGCGAGCAGUUUGUCCUCCACGAAGAGUGACUCCCCGUUUUCCCUCCGUGAAUU
rnacentral:lncRNA from 1 species